GUAGGUGGCAAGCGUUGUCCGGAAUUAUUGGGCGUAAGCGCGCGCAGGCGGUUCUUUAAGUCUGAUGUGAAAGCCCACGGCUCAACCGUGGAGGGUCAUUGGAAACUGGAGAACUUGAGUACAGAAGAGGAAAGCGGAAUUCCACGUGUAGCGGUGAAAUGCGUAGAGAUGUGGAGGAACACCAGUGGCGAAGGCGGCUUUCUGGUCUGUAACAGACGCUGAGGCGCGAAAGCGUGGGGAGCAAACAGGAUUAGAUACCCUGGUAGUCCACGCCGUAAACGAUGAGUGCUAAGUGUUAGGGGGGUUUUCCGCCCCCCUUGGUGCUGCAGCUAACGCAUUAAGCACUCCGCCUGGGAGUACGGCCGCAAGGCUG
rnacentral:rRNA from 1 species